GUGCGGUGGCGAGCGGGAAGGCGGCGGCGGCAGGAGGGAUGGAGUCUGUGAAUCUAAACGUCUGCCAGUCCAAAUGCCAAAUACAACAGCUGGAGUACCAGUCCAAUAACACCACAGUGCUCACCAGGGCCAGCUGUGAUCUGGAUCAGUACCAGCUAUAGGUAAAAGUAGUAGCCCUGGCUGGAUCGCAUCCAGAAGAUUUCUAAGUGCUGACAGAGGCUGCUGAGAUAAUACAACAUACCUACCUCACCACACCCCAGAACC